GUCGUACGAGAACGCUUCAGCUUGCUGAAGCUAGUAAAGUGCCUCACAGGUGAGUAACGCGUGGGUAAUCUACCUUCGAAUUGGGGAUAACGUUGCGAAAGUGACGCUAAUACCGAAUGAUAUCAUAGGGACUUUGGUCCUUUUGAUCAAAGAUGGCCUCUCCUUGGAAGCUAUUGUUUGAAGAUGAGCCCGCGUCCCAUUAGCUUGUUGGUGGGGUAAUGGCCUACCAAGGCAGCGAUGGGUAGCUGGUCUGAGAGGAUGAUCAGCCACACUGGAACUGACACACGGUCCAGACUCCUACGGGAGGCAGCAGUGAGGAAUUUUGCGCAAUGGGGGAAACCCUGACGCAGCAACGCCGCGUGAGUGAUGAAGGCUUUCGGGUCGUAAAGCUCUGUCAAGUGGGAAGAACUCCCGUGAGGUUAAUACCCUCAUGGUUUGACGGUACCACUGAAGGAAGCACCGGCUAACUCCGUGCCAGCAGCCGCGGUAAUACGGGGGGUGCAAGCGUUAUUCGGAUUUACUGGGCGUAAAGCGCGCGUAGGCGGCCGUUUAAGUCAGAUGUGAAAGCCCGGGGCUCAACCCCGGAAGUGCAUUUGAUACUAUUCGGCUUGAGUAUGGGAGAGGGAAGUGGAAUUCCUGGUGUAGAGGUGAAAUUCGUAGAUAUCAGGAGGAACACCGGUGGCGAAGGCGACUUCCUGGACCAAUACUGACGCUGAGGCGCGAAGGC
rnacentral:rRNA from 1 species